AGCUGAUUUUAAUUAGCUGGAUCCCAAAAUGACAUAGGUCUAUCUAAAAUCACAUAUCAAAUACUUUUGUGGAUAAAGCUAUCAGUUCAUAAGACUAGACUCCAUAUAAUCUCAGAUUAAGAUCCUUUUUCAUCACAUAGAGCACUGUUAUGUUUUAAUAAGUAUUUUUUUGCAAGUACUUGAAAACUGGUAAUUUUUAAUGACAAAAUCAGUUCUAUUUAUACUCCUUCUUGCUGUCCAUGCCCUACUGAAGUUAGUUGGCCCUUGUUUUCAACAAGAAUAAGUAAAUCAUCUCAAAUAUUUUUAUGAAAAAAUAUAACUCUGUCUUCCUCACAUCUAGCAUUUAAAUAAUGGUCCUUACCAUAACAAGAAGUAUGAUCUGUACACUUUGAGAAUUCAAUAAUACAUUCAUGCUCUCUCCUAUCAAAGUCUUAUUUCAGACCUAUACUACUUGACACAGACAGUCUCGUAAAUUGUUAAAAAAUCAGAAAAUAUCAUGCUGUGUCUCCAUAAAAUAAAAUACUUGGAAUCUCCUCUCACCGUCCAAAGAUACAUACCUAAACUGAAAUGAGCUUUAUCAAUGUUAAUAGUUUUUAUAGAGUAAUAAUACAAGAAAUGUUAGAUUUUGAAUAGUGAUUUUGUGUUCUUGAUAAAAUGUGGUCCCAGACAAAUGUGCCUUACAGAGAAUUCCAGAAAUGUUUGUCCUUCUCUCUACAGAUUUGUUUAUACAUUUUAUCAGAUAAGAAAAAUAAGGCAACU